CCGCACGGGUGAGUAACACGUAUCCAACCUGCCGUCUACUCUUGGCCAGCCUUCUGAAAGGAAGAUUAAUCCAGGAUGGCAUCAUGAGUUCACAUGUCCGCAUGAUUAAAGGUUAUUUUCCGGUAGACGAUGGGGAUGCGUUCCAUUAGAUAGUAGGGCGGGUAACGGCCCACCUAGUCAACGAUGGAUAGGGGUUCUGAGAGGAAGGUCCCCCACAUUGGAACUGAGACACGGUCCAA
rnacentral:rRNA from 1 species